UACGUAGGGUGCAAGCGUUGUCCGGAAUCACUGGGCGUAAAGCGCACGUAGGCGGCUUUCUAAGUCAGGGGUGAAAUCCUGGAGCUCAACUCCAGAACUGCCCUUGAUACUGGAAAGCUUGAGUUCGGGAGAGGUGAGUGGAACUGCGAGUGUAGAGGUGAAAUUCGUAGAUAUUCGCAAGAACACCAGUGGCGAAGGCGGCUCACUGGCCCGAUACUGACGCUGAGGUGCGAAAGCGUGGGGAGCAAACAGG
rnacentral:rRNA from 1 species